CCUACGGGAGGCAGCAGUAGGGAAUUUUGCGCAAUGGGCGAAAGCCUGACGCAGCAACGCCGCGUGAUCGAGACGCCCUUCGGGGUGUAAAGAUCUGUCAGUUGGGACGAAACUUGACUGUACCCACAGAGGCCGCACCGGCUAACUCCGUGCCAGCAGCCGCGGUAAUACGUGGGGUUCAAGCCUUGUCCGGACUCAUUGGGCGUAAAGAGUUCGUAGGCGGAACGUAAAGUCUGGUGUGAAAGACAGAGGCUCAACUUCUGUACGGCACUGGAUACUUGCGAGCUAGAAUGCGGUAGAGGUAAAGGGAAUUCCGGGUGUAGCGGUGAAAUGCUUAGAUAUCAGGAGGAACAUCGGUGGCGUAAGCGCUUUACUGGGCCGUAACUGACGCUGAGGAACGAAAGCCAGGGUAGCAAACGGGAUUAGAUACCCGUGUAGUC
rnacentral:rRNA from 1 species